CAGGUCGAACCCAGGAGGACCCGGGUGAACCGAAGCCCGUGGGUUCCCAAAAACGGGGCCCACGGGUUAGAAAGCAAUUAAAAACAAUUAAAAAACAAUUUUUUUAAUCUUAUUUUUACAUCUAAACCCUAAUCCGCCCCUCUAUGAUGCAUUUCAUGCAUCAAAACAUGCAUUCAACCUAUUCUACUUGCAUUUUUGAAGAUUUUUUCUCUACAAUCAGGCUUCUUAGUUUUUGUAUUUUUCUUCGAAGGUGACGACUAUGAAGGUGUGAGACACACAUCAAAGGCAUAGGAAUCACUGGAGAAGAAAGAUUUAGCCAUUAAAGGUAAGUGAAUCUAAAUUUUUUUCAAGUUUUCAAGAAUUUUUCCAAGUUUUUUUCAAAUUUUUAAAUUUUUUAAAAAGUUUUAAAAAGUUUUUUAAAUUUUUUUUAAAGAAGUCUUGUAUAUUUUUUUACACUUUGUAUGCAUAGUAUGGGGUUAUAAUAUCAAAAUUUUAAUAACUUUUUUCAAUAAUGUUGUGCGUUCUCUUUUCAUUUUAGGUGCAUUAUUCAUAUAAUCAUACAUAAUGGCUGGAACUGGAAGUGCAAGUGCAAGCUCUAGUUCAGUUGCAAAUGUCCGAACUGAAAAUACCCCCUUUAAAAUUGAUCAAGAUUCACCACUUUGGCAUUAUACAACAAUGAUCAAGCCAGUGUCUGGUGGUGGGGGUUUUGUUUGGCAAUGCAACCAUUGUGGCACUGAGUAUACCAGCUCAUACUUUCGAGUGAAAGGCCACCUUUGUUUCAUCCUUGGGCGUGGAAUAAAAUUUUGUAAGGGAUCAGAUGGCAAGGGGCUGUCAAAAGCUCUAGUUCUGGGAUAUAUUAGAGAACAAGAGGAAGCUGAUAGGAGAAGUAACAAAGCAAAGACUGAUCAUCCUCUUGUCCAUCCAAGCUCAAUGUCUAAGAGGCCUUCUAGUAGCAUUGACUCCACAAGACUAGCUGGUUCACAUCCUUUCAUGCAAAACCCACCAGUUGAUGCAGUAGAGAAUCAGAAUGUUGUGGCUUCACGGAAAAGAGGCCCAUUGGAUUUUGCCUUCAAAAAUGAACUGAGAGAGAUUGCAGAUUCCAAAAUUGGACGUUGCCUUUAUGGCAAUGGGCUUCCUUUCAACCUUGUUAGAUCACCUUACUUUCGGGACAUGGUGCAUACUCUUUGCAAUACACCUUCUGAUUAUGUUUGUCCAGGGUAUGAAAAGGUGAGAACCACCUUAUUGGCAAAGGAGAAAGCAUCCGUAGAGUCACAGUUGAAGGUCAUCAAAGAUACAUGGCAGGAAAUAGGUGUGACCAUUGUUUUUGAUGGAUGGAAAGAUUGUAAAAAUAGGCCAUUGAUCAAUGUUAUAGCAGUGUGUCCUAAAGGGGCAAUGUUUUUGAAAGCAGUGGAUUGUGAGGGGCAAGUGAAAGAUGCAAGUUUCAUUGCCAAUAUCUUGAUAGAAUGCAUUGACAUGGUGGGGCCUCAAAAUGUUGUCCAAGUUGUAACUGACAAUGCUAAAAAUUGUAGGGCAGCAGGGACUAUAGUGGAGGCUACAUAUGGUCACAUCUUUUGGACACCAUGUGCAGUACACUCACUCAAUUUAAUCAUGCAAAAGCUUGGCACACAAAUUGAUUGGGUGAAAAAACUGUAUGCGGAGGGCGAGGAGAUUCAAAUGUUUGUGACUAAUCAUCAUAUGUCACAAGCCAUUUUUCAGGACCUUCUCCAAGUUGGAGUUGUUGAAGGUAAUUUAUAAUAAUUAAUUUUAAAUUUUAUUUUUUAAUUUUUUAGUUUUAAAUUUGUAUUUUUUAUAGAUUUGCAUUUGAUAUAUGUUGUGUAUUUUGUUAUGUCAUGUUAGGUUGCUGAAACACGAUUUGCAUCUCACACACUCGUCUUAAGACGACUUCUGAAGGUGCGAGACGCUUUGAGUUCUAUGGUCAUCAACAGCUUGUGGAGUGUAUGAAAGUAGUCCCACACAGAAAGAGCUCUAAAAGUAAGAGCAUUGAUCUUUAGUGAGAAAUGGUGGGAUGAUGUGGAAUAUGUUUUGAAUUUCAUUGAGCCCAUCAUGAGCAUGAUCAGGUAUGCUGAUAUUGAUCGCCCAUGUUUGGGCGAGAUUUAUGAUGGCAUGGAUUGCAUGGUGGAAAAAAUAAAAGAAGUAAUAAAUAAAAAAGAAAAUGACCCAACGGAAACAUUUUUCAAAGUUGUGCAGAAAAUUGUUGUUGACCGUUGGAACAAGAUGACCACCCCCUUACAUCUCUUAGCAUUUGCUUUGACACCAAAAUUUUAUAGUGCAGAGAUGUUUGCAACACCAAGGAGGGUGCCACCAUAUAGAGAUGUAGAGGUUGCUUCUGGCUAUAGUGCUGCCUUUAAAAAGAUAUAUCAAGAUGAGACAAGAAAUAUUGUCAUGAGGGAGUUUGGCCAAUUUGUAUAUGCAAAAAAUCAUGAUGUUGUAGCUCUUAAUGCUAGAUAUGGGAUGGAUGCUGAUGAGUGGUGGUAUGUACAUGGUCAAGGCUCCGUUUACUUGCAGCCUCUUGCAAUUAAACUUAACUCCCAAGUUGCAAGUUCUUCUUCAGCUGAGCGGAAUUGGAGUACAUAUUCCUUCAUCCACUCAGUCAAACGUAAUCGUUUGGGUGCAAAGAAAGCUGAGGAUUUGGUCUACAUACACUCCAACCUUCGUUUGUUGUCACAUAAGGACCCUGAAUAUAGUGAGGGUGUAACAAGGAAUUGGGAUCUAGCCCCUGAGUGUGCUGAUUUAGAUGCUACAGUUGCACAACUUUGCCAAGUCUUUAUAGACGAGGCGGUUAUGGAAUUUGAGAGAGACACAGCUAGUGGGAGUGGCAUUCCAUUUGAUAUUGGUUCAAUUGAUGCUGAAUUUGAACCACUUGAUGACCGUGGGCUUGGGUUGGAUGCUUUAGAUGAAGAUGAAUAUGGAAUUUAAAUCCCAUAGAUGGCUUGUAAUUUGAAUGUUUAACU